CAGCGGUAUACGCGUCUUCUUUCCAAGUCGGCCAUCAUGGCGGCUGGUAGUGGUUUGUAYUGGUAUUGGUGCGUGUUUAUCACAAGAAAUAUCAUUUUAAAAGCAUCAAACUCAUUGUUAUCAUAACAAAGAAUACGCAGAUGCUACAUUUUCAGGAAAAGAGGGAAUAUUAUGGGAAAAAUAGAUUUUUUUUUACGCCACAACAAUCAGCAUACUAUCGAAGCUUGUAGGUACACUGGGAUCUUCAUCAUCACCAGGAUCCUCAUCAUCGUCAUCAUUAUCAUUCUCAAAAUCAAUGUCGUCAUCUUCAACUGGCUUUAACAGCUGAAUGUUCCAUGCGUAGGAGAGUUGCUGUACAUCUUUAAUGAGGUUUGACAGACAAAUGCUACAUUCGUUAUCUGUCAAACACUCAUGGUGAAAUGAGUGACCACAUGUCAGUCGCUUGGUUGAGGACUCUACUGGUGCUUGACAGUCAUGACUAUCACAAUCCACAGUGCUGUUGGGUUGAAACAAUGGCCAUCUAUAACCCAAAGGCAGACUUUUCCUACAGAAGGCUUUGUUAAAGCUUGCAAGAUGGAAUGAAGAUUUCCCGUAUGGUUUGCCAGCCUUGUUAAUUGGUCUUGGGAGCUCAUAUGACUGACCAAGAUUUGUUGCUACACGUUCAAACAUUUCCAUGAUACUUUCAGCUGCUAGACCUGAAAAAAAGACUACAUGUUASAACUAUAKACAUACAUGUAUGUUUAUAAGCACAGUAUUCAUGUUUGGAAUUGAAUUGAUGGAUAUACAGAUUGAAUCUAGUUUGACAAUGAAUUUUUUAAUUAUUAUUACCAGACAGUAGAAGCAAAUCUUGGUCACUAAUUCCUCGUUKGUAGCCAUUGACAUAGUCUUCUUCRAAGUAGUUCGGUUCACAAUUGGACCUGGCCAGUAGACGGGCUGUUUCUUGAAUUUGUGCGGCUUUGUCAUUUUUACUUAUUCYGCUUCUCAAUCGUGAAUGGAAUAUCUCCACUUUCUUUUCGCUAAUUACAGAGCACAGAUGUUGUUUGGCAUUGUGAUAUUCUUGRAAGGAGCUUUGAUGGUAGUUCUUGUCACUAAUCCAUGACAGAGUGGCUUUAUUAUAAUGGUGGCGUUCCAUAGCUAUAAACAUAAUGGCCAAUCUCUUCAUUGAUUCUUCAAUGUAUUGAAAGCUACCUCCCUUGACAAAAACAGGGUAAUGAAGAAAUGUGAGUGGGACUAGUUCUUCAAAUAAAUGGAACAAACAGA